rnacentral:rRNA from 1 species
GAUGAACGCUGGCGGCGUGCCUAAUACAUGCAAGUCGAGCGAACAGAUGAGAAGCUUGCUUCUCUGAUGUUAGCGGCGGACGGGUGAGUAACACGUGGGUAACCUACCUAUAAGACUGGGAUAACUCCGGGAAACCGGGGCUAAUACCGGAUAAUAUUUUGAACCGCAUGGUUCAAUAGUGAAAGACGGUUUCGGCUGCCACUUAUAGAUGGACCCGCGCCGUAUUAGCUAGUUGGUAAGGUAACGGCUUACCAAGGCGACGAUACGUAGCCGACCUGAGAGGGUGAUCGGCCACACUGGAACUGAGACACGGUCCAGACUCCUACGGGAGGCAGCAGUAGGGAAUCUUCCGCAAUGGGCGAAAGCCUGACGGAGCAACGCCGCGUGAGUGAUGAAGGUCUUCGGAUCGUAAAACUCUGUUGUUAGGGAAGAACAAAUUUGUUAGUAACUGAACAAGUCUUGACGGUACCUAACCAGAAAGCCGCGGCUAACUACGUGCCAGCAGCCGCAGUAA